rnacentral:tRNA from 1 species
AAUAAAGUGCCUGAUAAAAGGAUUAUCUUGAUAGGAUAAAUCAUGUACAAAAUGUACUUUUAUUA